AUGACAUGGCCGACGCGGCUUAAAGUGUAGUAUCCGUUCUAAUCAGCUUAAUGUCUGAUACUGGUUGUACAUAUUUGAACCCAAGAUAUCAGGCCUAUUUUUGCAAGUUGGCGGAGUGCUUGAAGCCUGCUUCACGUCCACCGCGGGUGGGCCCGUAUUGGACAAUCUUCGGGAUUGGCCCACGGUUU